rnacentral:tRNA from 1 species
GGGGCUGUAGCUCACCUAGCGUUUGAAUGGCAUUCAAAAGGCAGUCGGUUCAACUCCGGUCAGCUCCA